GCAGGAGCAAGCUGUUGCCAGCCCGCCCUGCACCAGCCCAGUCUCUGGUUUGCUGAUGCUGCAAAUCCGUGCAGUUGCCGUGUGGGUCCGUGACACGCUCCUUGGACUGACCUCUCCUCUUCACCGUGGCAGUUCCCGGGGCUGGGCUGUGCGAGGAGCCGGUGCCGUGCCCUCGCAGCGCAUGGCCAAGUUUGAGCCAUCAGCCCCUUUGUGGCACGAACAAAGUCCGGGCUGUGGAUAACAAAACCCAGCACAUCUCGGCACUGAAGGCGACAAACCCCGAGCUGCCCCACACCACCGAGCUGGCCACGGACCAAACUACAACAACAAAGUGGAUUUGAUUUCAAGCAGCAAAUAGAUCCUAAGGAAAUACUCAACUCCUGGCUUUGUUUUCAUUUUAUCAACAAAUGGUGCCACUGGCAGCACCUCUGCUGUGCGACACCAACCGCCUGAGCCCGCGCGGUUCGGCAGGCGCAGGAACGGCCCCGUGCCAGGGAACAAGACCCCUGCACCAGAACCAACCUGGUUUGCAAAUGUAGCUGAAUAAAUUAUAUAAAUUCUGAUGAAUA